AGUGAAGAGCUGCCGGACGAUGUAUCACUAAGAACAGUGCCCUCGCUGUGAUCACAGGACUGGAUAAAAGUCAUGGAACUGUCCAACUCCAGAGCGUUUUCGCAAAUGUCCACCAGUCACCAAUUCACAGACCAUCAAAAUUCCAGAAUAGCAGAGUGUUUGGACCUGUGUAUAUCAAUUUGAUAACUCCAGUCCUGAUGAAGGGUCCCUGCCUGAAACAUUGAAUCGUGGCUAUUUUCCAUUGAUGCUGCCUGGUCUGCUGAGUUCCUCCAGCAUUUUGCAUGUGUUGCGGUAUUGAUUGCCAAUUUACAACAAUAUGCACAGCAACUGGUUGAGAAACUGGAAUAUGGCAAGUGGUAUUUCACAUUUCUAGUAGCAGAAAGAGUACAACUGUGAAAGAAGUUAAACUAUGGAAUCAACACCAUGUUGUGCACUUUGUUCCCUGAUCCAUGUAACACUAAGGAGGCUGAAGUUGUUCUGAUGCUACUGCAAUCACAGAUAACUUCAUCUGGACACGAUCAGGAAUCCCCUCUUCAGUUGUGACCAGUGCAAUUCAUCAAGACAACAGUGCUAUGGGAGUAUCAACUGGAUCUAGGAGGAAUGGCUCUUAAAAUAUUCUUUACAUUUAAAAAUGACGCAUUCCUUGCUAAUUCCAUUUGCAACACGGGAUAGACAUUACAAGUUUAGUUGAAUUUAAUUACUUUUAUUGGGAUGGAUGUCACAUCAAGACUUUCUUCAUUUAAAUAAAUGUCCCUCAUGAAUACAGUUAGAAGCCAAAUCUUGCUGAAUUUAAGAACACUACAUUGACAGCUAAAGCAAAUUUUGUAUAUCGUCUAAUGGGAAGUAUUUGGCACCACUUUUGACAUUCAUCAUGGGCUUGGGCUAGCAGUUUCAGUAGCAGUGCUGAUGUCUCCAGCAGUUUAAAUUUCAGCAGAUUUGCAUAGUAAGUUCAACAUGACUGAAGAUUUGAUGAGUUGAAUAAGCAAUCGCAAUUGGGAGAAUGGGGAAUGGCAAAUGACAAACCUACCGGAGGGUCUUUAAAGUCACUUGGUCCUAACAACUAAAUUGUUUUUCAGAGCCAGGUGGUGAAUGGUCAGUAUGGCAUCAAGUAUAGCAUUAAUCUAUUCUUGGAACACUUGUGGGAAGAUGACACCUGGGAACUGAAUAAAAUAAAUGUUGUCCAAUCAGUGACCACUCCUUUUUAUUUCUAACCCUUUUAUUUCUCAGAUGAUGGGUACUGUAACAUAAUUACUGAAGUUUGUGUUUUUAACUACAAAAUUUCUUAAGCAUUCUCUAGUAGAAUUUCAGUACUUAAAUCCAGAAUGUAUUUUAUAAGAUAUGGAUAUGAGCUUUUUUGCAUUAGUUAUCAGUAAAUAAAGAUUUAUUAAUAGUUCUGAAUGCUAGUAGCAAGUGUGGGUUUGGGGAACUCCACCACUCGAUUAUGCUUGACGAAUACUUGAAUAUGCUGGUUGAGGGAGAGCUACUAUAAGAAAUAUAAUUAGCUUUCUGUUGCCCCACAGAUAUCCAAAUGGAAUCUUAUUCCUGGCCAGUGCUGCUGAUUGGGGAUGCAACAAUUGGUCAUUCAAUUGUAACUGCUGGCCACAAAAGUCAAAGGAAAAAUAUCUGUAAUUUUAUAAAGUUCAAACAUCCAGAGGCUUUGGUUGUCAUGGUAAAAGCACAAGCUUUGAAAGGGCAUGGGAUUUUUCUGUAGCUGAAAAUAUUUACAAGCUAGAAGCACUCUGCUAAUCAGAUGUUAUUAGAGGGGAGAGGAGUGGUUAACCUCGAGCUGGAGUGAUGUAAAUGUCAAGUACAUAGAGCACAGGAGCAAAAAUCCAAGUAGAAAGUGUUUGGCCAAAACUCCCCAGGGUUUAUCAAAUUUCUCUUUAAAUUCUUGCUAAUGGUUUUAUUCCAGCAGCACUUAUUGAGCUAGUACUUGUGUUCUGUGAAAACUUGAGAGCUGAAAAGUAUGAUCUAAGCAGCAUUUGCUUGGCUGUAAAAUAACUUCUGAUUCUCUGGACGUUGUUUUAACACCUGGCCACAGCAUUUCAUGUGGAUUUUCAUACUUGAAUAUUUAACUUUAGAGGUCUCACUUUCAUUAGCCUUAACAAUUAAAUUCCAUUUGUCACAAUCUUUUGCUAAUUUUGUAUCUAGAUAUUGAAGUCUGAUAAUAGCAGCUGAUAAUAACUCUCUAUUACUAAACUGCAUUAUUGCUCAACCUCAGACCAUUUUCUACAAACUGAAAUUGAUAUUCUUUAGGACUUCAGUAUGUUCUGAAAUUCUGUAAUUAAUGUACCUAGGGUGGCCUUCAAGAUUUAUUGUGUCCCACAGAGUUGUAUUGGAUUUGGAACAGACUAAUCAAUUUUAUUUGUAUGUCCCUUUUCCCUAUCCUGGGGAAAGCUGCCAAAUUUCUGAAUUGUUAGCAAUAUAAUUGAUUUUUUUCCAGUGCUCAUUUACAUCUAUCUGCCUUGUGAUUUUUGCCACCAGUGCAAUGUUCUUUAAUGAUGUUCACAAUCCAAUUACUCAUGCAUGCUAUUCCACUAGAAGUACGGUUGUAAAUCAUGUUGAAUAAAGUUCUGUA